UUUGAUUGAUCGCUUAUUGUCUGAAGAUGCAAGUGGAAAAAAUCUGACAGUAGUUCCUAUUGUUGGAAUGGGCGGCCUGGGUAAGACAACACUUGCUAAAGCCGUUUACAAUGAUAAGAGAGUGCAGAAACAUUUUGGUUUGACAGCUUGGUUUUGUAUAUCUGAGACAUAUGAUGCUUUCAGAAUAACAAAAGGUUUACUUCUAGAAAUUGGCUCAACUGACUUGAAGGCUGAUGACAAUCUUAAUCAGCUACAAGUCAAAUUGAAGGAAAAGCUGAAUGGAAAAAGGUUUCUUGUUGUCCUUGAUGAUGUGUGGAAUGAUAACUAUCCUGAGUGGGAUGACUUGAGAAAUCUUUUUUUACAAGGAGAUAUAGGAAGUAAGAUCAUUGUGACGACACGCAAAGACAGUGUUGCCUUGAUGAUGGGAAAUGAGCAAAUUAGCAUGGGCAAUUUGUCUACAGAAGCCUCUUGGUCUUUGUUUAAAAGACAUGCAUUUGAAAACAUGAAUCCUAUAGGACAUCCGGAACUCGAAGAGGUCGGAAAACAAAUUGCAGCUAAGUGCAAAGGACUGCCCUUAGCUCUGAAGACGCUAGCUGGCAUGUUACGCUCCAAAUCAGAGGUUGAAGAGUGGAAACGUAUUUUGAGAAGUGAAAUAUGGGAGCUGCCACACAAUGACAUAUUACCAGCGUUGAUGUUGAGCUACAAUGAUCUUCCCGCACAUUUAAAACAAUGUUUUUCCUAUUGUGCAAUAUUUCCUAAAGAUUAUCCAUUUAGGAAAGAACAAGUUAUUCAUCUAUGGAUUGCCAAUGGUCUCGUACCAGUGAAAGAUGAAAUAAAUCAAGA
rnacentral:misc_RNA from 1 species